rnacentral:lncRNA from 1 species
AAAUCAAGAAGGAAAGCUGAGAAGGAAGAUAAAAGGUGAGACCUUUCUUGAGAAUGGGAUUGUAUUCAUUUCUUUAAAGCAGACACCUUCUCCACCGUGAGUUAAAGGAUUCAGCAAGAACUUAUCUCUUUGUGAUUAUAAAAAUUGAGAACUUUAGAUUCAGGCAUCAUCUUGAACACCUCCAUUUUAUAAAUGAGGACUUUAAAGCCAGAAAUAUUCAUUGUCCCAAUAUCUGAAUGGAUAGAGUCAUGGGUUGAUGGCUGUAAUAGGUCUUUAGAGCUAGUGUUCUUUCCACUACAUCAUUAUUUCUCUAUUUGAACUUUACAAAAAAAGUUGUACAGAGCCCAGCACAGGGUUCGAACUCACACAUUGCGAUAUCAUGACCUGAGCCUAAACCAAGAAUCAGAAUCAGAAUCUCUCUCUCUCUGGAUUAAUGACUCUUUCUUUCUUUCUUUUUUUUUUUUUUUUUUUUUUUUUUUUUUUUUUAAUUCUGGUCAACCUGUCAUUUUGUGGCCAAAGCCUCAAAGUGCAUUAAGGGGAUGGUAGAAUCUAGGACCCUCCACCUGCAUGUCUCAUUGCUAUUGUGUAUCAAAUAAAUGUAAACAAAAGAAGCCUUCUGUGUGCCUGGCUGCCACUAUAACUUCCUAGACUAAUGCUCACUUUAUUUAAAAAGAAAUUAUUCUCUUCCUUCCAAAGGAAGCCAUGUAAAUCUAACUAGCAGAGAAUAUUUCUGUUUUCUUUCCCAAGUGAAACAGGCAGCAGUGCCACAGUAAUUUGCUCUUGAUUAUUACAGUAUAAAAAGAAAACUUUUUUUUUCUUAAAGAGAUCAGGAGGAAGAUGAUAGUUCUGUGUUUUUAAUUCAUUGGGUAGCAUACAAGUCUCAAUAUGAGAACAGAAAAUGAAAGAGAGGCAACUGUAAAUAAUGCAUGCAAUUAUUUCGUUAUUAAGAUUUUAUUGGUGGAGUAGGAAGGUGGAAAGAAGCUAAGAAAACAAAGCUCAAGUUAAUUCCAAUUCAUAGCUUUCAUAACAUUUGAUAAAUCUUUCUGGGACGUAAAUAGCAGCAAGAGAUAGCUGGGGAAUCCUUUCAGUUUGUUUUGUAAAUGGGAGAAGUAUAUUGGAGCCUAAUUAAAAGUUUUAAUAAUAUAAUUAAUGAAAUUUUGAAUGUGUCUAUCACUAGAUAUUAUCUUGUAGCUACUAGAACAAAUAAUGAUGGUAUCGUUCUUCGUGAUUAGCACGGGUACAUCUUCCCCGUAUGAAUGUUGAUUAACUAGAAUAAAUUGGUUAUCAAACUAAAUAUUUUUCCAAAAAACAGACAUCUUCAUUAAUAUUAGCUUAAGGUGUUGGAGGAUAAUGGAAUCUGCCAAUGAACUUGUUUUCCUGGCCAAAAAUCAAGUUAAUGAGGAAUCUAAGGAAAAAAUGAAUACACUCAAUAGAAAACGAAUAUGAUGGAAAUGAAUUAAUGCCACAGAAGAAAAACAGGUCUUUUAAAGGUAUAGGAAACAGAUAUACUCGUUAAAUUAAUUAACCAAGGAGGCUGUUAGACUGAGGUGGUUCUAAUGCCUUGACAACCUAUGUAAGCCAAUCAAAAUCUAAGCCUGUAAUACCUCAAGGUUAAAAAACAAAUUGAAACCUAAGGACAUGCAGUCAAGGCCAUUUACCUUUUCCCAAAUAAGGGAGCCACUUAAGCCAAUCAAAUAAUUUCCUUGCUUUGUUUCUUCCUUUCUAAAAAAGUCUUUCCUCUAUGUCCUGUGGGUAGAGUGCUCCUACUUCCUGUUUGAUACUGACCUUAUGGUAUAGAUAUUUGCACAGACUCAAUACCUUUGAUAUACCUCAGUUUAUUGUUUAACAUACUGUAAUUAGAACAUUUGUUUCAGUUAUUCUGUCAUUUAUUCUAACUAUCCCAAAUUUUCUUAAUUCAUAUGAUUUUCAUUUUGACAGGAAACCAUUACAAUCUUUGAAUCUAAUGGUAAAAAACAUCAAGCAAAAUUCUCAUGUUUUGAAGUCUUUUAAAGUCCACCUUAGACUUUAAGCAAACUGUAAAUUAUUAAAUCUAGAAGACUAAGUAUUUUAACUUAAGAUAAUUCUAGAAAUAGUGUCAUACAGAAUGCUAAGCUCUUUUUAUAUCUUUAUUUUUUGUUAUAAGUUUAUUCUGAGAGAGAAAAGAUUUGUGAGCAUGAGUGGGGGAGGAGCAGAGUAGGAGAGGGAGAGAGAGAAUCCCAAGCAGACUCUGCUGUUAGUGUGGAGCCUAAGGCAGGGCUCGAACCCACAAACUGUAAGAUCAUGACCUGAGCUGAGAUCAAGAGUUGGACACUUAACCCACCAAGCCACCCAGGCACCCCUCUUUUUAUAUCUUUAUAUAUUUUAUAGCCUUGUGAGAUAGGUGGUAUCAGAAAACAUUUUACAACUGAUAAAACUAAUGAUUUAUUAGGUUAACUAAUUGACCCAAGCAGUCAGCACAGAAAAUUAUAGAUCUGGUUUUGAAUUGCAGCCUGUCUGAGGCCAAAUGUCAUAAUGCUUCCUUACCUCAACUAAAUGUUAACCAAAUAUUUUGCCAAAUUUGAAAAUGCCUCAAAUUUAAAUUAUAAUUUACCAUGAGAUACUUUCAUAAACCCUGAUUAACAGCAUUAUAGGGAGCACAGAUCAUUUUAAAGUGUUAAAUUUUCACAUAGUAAAGCUCUUGAUUAAAAAAAAAAAAUCCUAAAAAAUGCGAUUUUUCCCCCACACCGUCAAAGAACAAAAUUAUCAACGAGUCAUGACUUAGGUGGUGAACUAUUUAAUAAUCCAAUCACAUUUGUUAGCCACAUGCCCCCUCAUCACUGGUCCCAUGGUAGCAUUCUCUCAGCUUCUGGGUGGAAGAAAUGUAGCUGGUACCGAAAAAGGUGAUAUUUGUUACUUCUGGACUCCAGUUCUGCUGGAUUAGAUCACCAGCUCAUAUCAUUUCGGAAAGGAGUAAAAUGGUGUUAUGGCUCAUGAUCAGCCACAUUGUUGUUGUGAUUCAGGAAAGACCAGCUUCUUUCUGGCUGCUUUUCUCCAAAGCUGUUCUGUCAGAAGCAGGUGCUUAGCUUUUGUUGGCUUACUUCCCAUGACUUUAAGGAGGUCCAAAAGUCUAUAUGUUCAACUAUUUCAUGACCUUAAGCAUUAAUGUUUAAGAAUUAAACAUUCAUGGCCGACUUUGGUGAUAGGACCGAAUCCCAAUAGAACAUAAAUCCCAGCAAGAGUAAUAGAAAUAAAAGCAGUAGGUGAUAAAGAAGUGUUCUCAUGCCUAUAUUCUGUCACAAUUAAGCUCAUUCAAAAAAUGGCUUGUGUGUUGGCAUGGGCCUCUAAAAACUCAAUGUAUUCAGUUCCAGUGUAGAACAAGAGUUCUGGGAAGCAGAUUUAUUUCAUUCUUGGCACUGUAUAGUUUCCAAGUUUAGCUGUUAUUUGAAGAUAGACAUGACUGACUCACCUCUCUAGGAGUCUGAGCCACAGAGCACCAUUAGCUAUGAAAGAUAACAAUGUUCUCUUGGGUAUAUUGGAAUGCUGAUACUGCAUAACAAAGCACUGGAAAUCUCAGCGAUAUAUACCAAUAAAAAUGGAUUUCUCACACAUCUGCAGCAUUCAGUAUGAGGUUGUUUUAUCUAGGCCGUGUACAACUGGACAGUUCUGGUUCAUAUAUCCCUUAUUCUCUCCCCGAGCCUACUGGGCUAAUCCACGCAUGUGCAUCUCUUAGCCAUCACAGAAACACUGGAGUGAGUAUAAUUGCAUAAUUAUUUUCUGUGAAAGUACUUUUUCUAAUAACAUCAUGCCUACUAACAUUAUCUUGGCCAAAACAAUUCAUAUGAUUGAGCCUAGCCUCAGGGGCAGAGAAAUACACUCUAUGCUUUACUGGGAGGUGCUGCAAAGUUAGAAGUCAAAGGUCAGCUUUAUAGGGAGGGCUGAAGAAUUGAGGACUUCAAUGUGCAAUCUAUUAUAGCAAUAAACCAAACAUAUAAGAAGCCAUAAUAAAUGCUAAGAGUCAACAGUAACAUUAAAAUUAUUCCCCAAGAUUAUUUCUUAAAUGACUCUGUAAUUACAAUGAUUAGUUAUUGUCACAUGCAAUGAUUGUCAAUUGGUAACUGUGUUGAGGUUAAAAAUUAUUCAGGUACACAGAGAAAAUGUAAGUACUAUGUCCUGACUUUAUGUCUGAUUUUGUCUUAUUUCCUCUACCUUUGCCUUCAUCAACCCUUACUUAAAAAUGUGAUUUUGCUUUUACCUUCAUGUGGCACAGCAAAUCUUUCAGGAAUAAGGUAGAACAUAAACAUAUUAUCAUACGAAAUCUUAGCAUUAAAGUGGAAAAUAAAGUUAGCAUAUUCUCUGGUUUCUUCCAUAUUUUACAGAUGAUAUAACUGAGAUACAAAGACACUAUAUGACUCGCAAAGAUUUAGAUGAGAUAAUUUCAAAGAAAAAUCUAGUUUGUGAUCUAAUAUCACUUUAUAUUUCAGUUUUAUUGACCAAGUUGAGGAAAAAGAAUCCAGUUUGCUUCACCACUUUUUCUCAUUUUUUCUUCUGCAUCAGACGUAACUAUUCACCUUUCUGUAAAUGUCUAUAAAAAUUAUGAGCUUAAAAUGUUGAUUACAUUUUAUUGCUUUUUUACAUGCAAUUUACUUUUUUUUUGGUAAAGAGUUUUCUAGCUUUAAGCUUCUCAUACUAGAAUCUACUUUUUCUCAAUUUAACUAUAUUUCUCGAGCUGUGGAUAAGAGUUUAGUCAAAAUCCUUAGCUAUAUGAGAGAAAUGCUUUUGCAUAUAUAUACCAAAACUAAAACCAAGAUAACCAAAAGUGAAUUAAUGUUAAGGAUAGAAGUAUUUCCCUGGGACUGUCAUAUUUCCCAAGGUCAUUGGAAUUCCACUAUUACAAGAACCCAUAAAUAUGAGCUGAGAUACAUAGUGGUUUCACCUGGACAGGGGCACAGGGAUUCUGAAAUAACCAGACAUACAUAGGUAGCUCCAAUUAUUUGCCUCUCAGACCAACAAAAGCAGUGGCUGCUGAAAUAAUGGUAAGAAAAAUGGUUCUAGAGUUUUCCCCCAUGACUCAAGACAAGCAUUUACAUUAUUUAGACACUCGAUGUCUCUUCUGACUUAUGAUUGCCUUACAAUCUAUGGAACAUAUUUAGUGUCCCCAUGGAAGCAAUUACACAUGAAACAUCAACAUAUAUUUAUUUAGUAGACAGUGUUUUCAUAGGUCCCUGCAGUGUAUUUUAACAGUAGUGGAAACGAACAUUUUGGUGUAAUGUGUUUUUAUCUAUCAUUCAGAUCAAAGAAAAUCCAGUACUUGUAAAUCUUAGAAAGCAAUUGAAAGUUUCAUACA